AUUGAACGCUGGCGGUAUGCUUAACACAUGCAAGUCGAACGGUAGCAGGCCUUCGGGCGCUGACGAGUGGCGGACGGGUGCGUAACGCGUAGGAAUCUGCCUGUUAGUUGGGGACAACGUGGGGAAACUCACGCUAAUACCGCAUACGCCCUGAGGGGGAAAGCGGGGGCUCUUCGGACCUCGCGCUAACAGAUGAGCCUGCGUGGGAUUAGCUAGUUGGUAGGGUAAAGGCCUACCAAGGCGACGAUCCCUAGCUGGUCUGAGAGGACGAUCAGCCACACUGGGACUGAGACACGGCCCAGACUCCUACGGGAGACGGAAGUGGGGAGUAUUGGACAAUGGGCGCAAGCCUGAUCCAGCAAUACCGCGUGUGUGAAGAAGGCCUGAGGGUUGUAAAGCACUUUCACUGGGGAGGAAGAGCGGUUAGUUAAUACCUGAUCGUGUGACAUUACCCAGACAAGAAGCACCGGCUAACUCCGUGCCAGCCGCCGCGGUAAAAC
rnacentral:rRNA from 1 species